GACAGAAACCACCGAAGUGCCUGUAUACGCCAAUACUGUAAACAAGCAGAAGAUAUAAGGAUAAAAUUGUAUCCCCAUCAGAGGGAAAUGUUGGCACCAAGUUUUCAACACACCGACUGGGAAAUGAUAUCCAAACCUGCAGAAAAACAGUUAAGACAGUGGCGCGAUCCGGAGAACCGCACUGCUGUGAGCUGAUCGCCUUCGUCGUCGUCGUCGUCGUCGUCUUGAUCUUCUGCAAGGACCUAAGUGUCUCCGGAGCCUGGGAAGCACAGGGAAGCACGGUGGGAGUCAUAGAAUGUCAACCCUCUGCGGAAGAAAAAAACCCUCACAGACUUAAAGGGCCAGUCCUGUCUUAAGAGUAGAGAGCAGAGAUGUCAC